CGUAGGUGGCAAGCGUUGUCCGGAAUUAUUGGGCGUAAAGCGCGCGCAGGCGGUCCUUUAAGUCUGAUGUGAAAGCCCACGGCUCAACCGUGGAGGGUCAUUGGAAACUGGGGGACUUGAGUGCAGGAGAGAAGAGUGGAAUUCCACGUGUAGCGGUGAAAUGCGUAGAGAUGUGGAGGAACACCAGUGGCGAAGGCGACUCUUUGGCCUGUAACUGACGCUGAGGCGCGAAAGCGUGGGGGGCAAACAGGAUUAGAUACCCUGGUAGUCCACGCCGUAAACGAUGAGUGCUAAGUGUUAGAGGGUUUCCGCCCUUUAGUGCUGCAGUAAACGCAUUAAGCACUCCGCCUGGGGAGUACGGCCGCAAGGCUG
rnacentral:rRNA from 1 species